CAGGGGGGGCAAGUCUUAUUCUACAUGACUGGGCGUAAAGGUUAUGUAGGUUGUUUUUUUUACUAUUGAAAGAAAAACUAUUAAAAAUUUAUAGAUGAUUUUAAUAUAUUGUAAAACUUUGAGUUUAGGGAAGAUAUUGGAAUCCGUUAGUGUAAAUGUGAAAUGUUCAGAGACUAGGGGGAAUUUCAAAUGGCGAAAGCAUUUAUCUUAUUAAAACUGACACUGAAAUAUGAAGGUAUGGGUAGCGAAUAGG
rnacentral:rRNA from 1 species